UGGUGCCUGUACCAGGCUGCUGUUUCUCUCAGCACAUGAAGCAGAUCCAGCUUUUCAGACACAGCUUUCAGGACACAGUGUAACUGGAUGUGCCUGAUAGAAAGAAGUGCCAGGCAAAUUGCACAACAUCCAGAAUUACAGAGGCUGGGAGGACUCUGCCAGUCAGGGAGAUGCUACUUGAGAAUGAACUAUUUAUCCCUCUAACAUUCACCUAAUCCCAGCCUGAUUUGCUUUCUCCCCUCAUACUUUAGAUCUCCUUCUCUCAGAAGUAUUCCUUGGUGACUUCUUACAGCAGGACUCAAAAGUCUCGUCUCUAAGGCUUGAGGCUUCUCUUUUCAUGGAGUUCUUGGCACUAUUGAAGACAAACUUUGUCCAACCCUUGGAACCCAGAGUCAAGGCCCUGCCUGACUUUGCUGUGUCACUGGGUGCAGAGAUCUGGGAGCUGCUGGGAAUUAUCCAGCGCUGGUUUAGGGUAAGGUCAGUACGUGACAAAAACAGCGGAUAGAGUUCUGGAGUUGUAGCCGCCUGUUUCAAUCUCUGCAGCCUCUGCACUUGAAUCAAUAGACACGGGGGUUUAAAAUCACCACCCUUUUUUUCAUGAUCUUACACUUACAAGCAAACUCUGAGUUCAGCUAAGCAAAGAGAGACACAUCCCCAACAGGCGACACUGAAUUCCUGUGACCGUGAGCAGAGUCUGGCCCUGUGGCAGUGGCAGUGGGAAUGUGCCUGAACCCACAGAAGAGAUCCUGUGUCUCCUGGGACCUUCUGAAUCAGAGACAGACACUCUUCAAUCUCACAGAUCUUUGCUGACUCUCUUUUCUUUCAAAUUCUGCUUCCUGGCUUCUCCCUUUACUAAAAUGUACCCCUGUGCCUUUUCUCUCUGCCUGUUCUUGUGCUAACCCAGAUCACUGUUGGUGUGUUCUUAAUCAGAUUCCUGGCAGGAACAGGUAAGUGUUUCCACUGUGCUUCAUUCCCCGGCCAUUGAAACGCAGUUUUCCUCAUCUUAGCCCCAGAAGAUGCCGCGCGUGUGCCUUGAGUCUUCGCCAGGGACUGCCCUGUGAGCCCAGCCCGUGGAGACAGGCCCAGGGCAGCAGAAGACACACGAGGAGGCAGCAGUUUAGGGCCUCGUCAGCAGCACCCCCGAAGAUCACUCUGAACCUCUUCGAAGCUCUGGGAGCUGCUGAUUGCGAGCCUUUGCUUCUCUCCUGCUUGGGGCUGCCUCAGGCUCCCAGACCUGCAGGGCUGAUCCUGCUGCUGACUAAUGUGCUUGCUGCAUGAGCGUGGGUGUGAGGAGCUGGGAUAUUCCCUUGGGCGAUCUGGGGAGCAAGGAGCUGCUGUGUGUGGCUUGCAUGAAGGGCAAGUGGCCAGGGGCAGUUGGCUCUGCUGGCAUCUGCUGUGACUGGGCAAAUCCCACCUGUUCUUUGAGCUGCCAUUUCCCCCUCUGCAGCACGGCCCGGCCCGGGAACACUCACCUCCUCAGGCUUUUUGUGAGCGUUAGUUUGUGAUUGUGAAAUGGUUUGAAGUUGUUGUUUUAAACAGGUAGAACAGGCAGAGAGCACAAACUGUGACAUAAACUUCCAAUGCCUCGGGCAGCCCCUGCAGCAUCUCCCAUUUUCAUCUGGCCACAGACACUCUGCUUGCUGACAGUCAGGCCCUGCACACACUGGAGUGGUGACUUUAACUGCUGUUCAUGUAACAUUUAGACCACAGAGGCCACAGUGGCCUGUUGCCUUCCUGUCAUUUGGCAGCUACUGGACACAACCCGAGCUGCAGCUGCCCUUUGGGAGUCACCCAGCAGCGUGUGCAGCACUGUCCAGUGGGAAUGGCCACCUGCAUGGACAGGACUAUUCCAAGAGCCAGCAAUUUCAGUCUCCACAGAAAAGGUCUCUUCCACCAAGGCACUGGAGAAGAAAGCAAAGCCACCUCUGUGCAGGGUAUCUGGUAUGCUAGGCUCAGGGUGCUUCUCAGGCAUGCUGCUGUUACUCAGGAAUAGCUGAAUCCUCCUUCCCAUGACACUGCUGGAAGGUCAGCACAAAACAGUGUCCUCUGAGGCCUGGCAGAGUAGAGCAGUUAUCAUGGCAACGGGAGAGCAGAACUUGUUCUCCUCUGGCACGGUUUGACCUGACCUGGAGGGCUGUUUGCUGCCCAAGCUCCUCCUAAUCCUCCCCCGGCCUCCCCGAGGCUGGGAUGCAGGAGGGGCUACAGGCUCCAGCUCACCCAGCCUUGGGAUCAGCCCGAUUUGGUCAUAGUGGAGCCCAGGAAUGUGAGUUGGUCGUUUUCUGCACGUUAUGGCUGCAAAUGUCAACCAAACUCACUGUUUGUGCUGUUGCAGUUGUGUAAAAAUAAUGGAGUGAAAUGAAUUGCAGAUGUGAUUUGCAUGUGCAUGUGAGAACCUUCCAUUAAACCUUCCAACUGGAGACCGGA